rnacentral:lncRNA from 1 species
UUUACGUCUGUCUGCAGAGCCACCUUCUUCCACCUUCUUCUAAACAACUUGAAAACAGUCGGUUAACAAUUUUUUUUUUUUUUGGCACAUGGAGGUGUUUGCAUGAACUAAUCAUAAUUUAAGUCAGAACAUGGAGGCUUCAGAUAAAUGCACUGACAAAGCACCACAUAGCAUAAUGACUAAUUGUGCUAUCCCAGAUGAGUAUUUAUCAUAAUUGCCAUUUAAUCAAUCUGUGGCCAAGCUUCAUACCUUAUUGCAUCUAUAUUUGUAUGUUUCUUUUACUUAAUUUAGGUAACAUGUAUUGCGUAUAUCUUCUCGGCCACCGGCUACUGUGAUCACCGCAUCCGAAGUGCUGGAGCUUGCUGAAACCGCUCUUCCUGUACGGCGUCAUACUGCCGGAAACUCUCAAGUCCUCUGCUCUCCGGCAUCUCGGAUUUCCCCAAUGCCACCGCAUUCCGUGUUAAGGAUCUCGAUUGCUCUGAUGCCCCGUCGACUUUUUU